rnacentral:tRNA from 1 species
GGGGUUGUGGCUCAGUGGUAGAGCACUUGCCUAGCACAUGCAAGGCUCUGGGUUCCAUCCUCAGCACCACG